rnacentral:rRNA from 1 species
UACGUAGGGGGCUAGCGUUGUCCGGAAUCAUUGGGCGUAAAGAGCGUGUAGGCGGUCCGGUAAGUCCGCUGUGAAAGUCGGGGGCUCAACCCUCGAAACUGCGGUGGAUACUGGCGGCUAGAGUGCGGAAGAGGCGAGUGGAAUUCCUGGUGUAGCGGUGAAAUGCGCAGAUAUCAGGAGGAACACCAAUGGCGAAGGCAGCACGUCGUGGGA